UAAAAACACACACAAUCAUGCAAAAACAUAACAUUUUAAUAUCUUGUUAGUACAAAUCUUUACUUCGAGGAAAUCACUAAAAGCUUGGACAUUAAUGAAACGCAUUGCUUGCAAGACUUUUAAAACUAAUCUUCCUUGAACUAGUUUUAAGCUAAUAUUAAACCAAUCAAGAACUACGAAAAACUCUAAAAAAUCGCUUUAAAAAGUGCUGAUAUUCUCGUAGGCAAAGACCUUGUGUAAUUAGUGACAAACGGAUUGGCCACAAUGGAGCUUCGAUUAUACUGUCACCAAGUAGUUGUAAACAAAUUUAUGUAUGGAGAUAAUCAGCACAUGCUGUGGUAGCAAGAAGAAAUAAAUGAACACAAAAGUUAUGAUAGCAAAAGUAGUGUGAAAUCAAAUAAUUAAAACAAACAAUUAAAAAAAAUUUUAUGACGUCAUCGCAGAUCCUUUAUUUGAAGAUUAUUCUUUAAUAUACUUUAAACAAACAAUCUGACAAAUUGAAAAUAAAUCGCCUUUGUUUCCUUUACACUUCCUGGAAAAUAAUAUGAAGUAUAAAUUGAAAUUCCUUAUGUUGUAAUAUAAAAAGAAGAGACGUGUUGAUGCCGAUCGGCGACGUGAACAGGUUUCUGCUAGCAGUACUGCUUGCAAUAAUUCUGCUGGGACCCUACCAAUGCCACUAAGGGCGACGGGGAGGGCGUGGGCGAAGCCCCCAGGAAAGAGGAGGUAGGCGUGUGCGAAACAUCCAGGAAAGAGGAUGUGGGCGUGGGCGAAGCUCCCAGGAAAGAGCAGAUAUUAAGUUGUUAAUGUCUUGUAAGAAGUGGACCUCAUUGGAAAAGCCACCGUUAUCUAGGCCCGUAUUGACGUUGUUGAAAGUAUGGGUUUUGAAUUAAUGACACCUGUUCAGGCUACUGCUAUACCGUUACUAUUGUCACGCAAAGAUGUUUCUGCGGAGGCUGUAACUGGCUCAGAAAAACAGCAUUUUUAGUGUCUUUAUUGGAAAUGUUAAGUCGCUGUGGACUCCUAAAGAAAUUGGCGCUAAAAUUAUCUCACCCACAACAGAAUUGGCUUUACAAAUCUCGGAGGUAUCAGAAAACACCGAGCUAUAACCAAUCAGCAGGUGUUAGAGGCAUACUUUGGUGUUUCAGACUCAGCUGCAACGUGUUCAUAUUUCAUUUAUGUAUUCUGACGAACAGAAAAUUAUGAUCUACUUGUUUGCCAUUCCUGGAAGAAAAACAUUAAAAGGACUCAAUGAUCACAAAAAUCUAUCCAUCUAAACGAUCUACAAAGUCUUGCUCUAAACGCAAGGCUUUCUCCGUUCUGUGGUUUCACGUUUUUCCGCCUGGGUAACGCUUUGAGGUGCCGUGAUGCGUUCAAGAGGAGAUAAAUGCUUUUUUUUUAUACAAUUAUA